AAUGAACGCUGGCGGCAUGCCUAACACAUGCAAGUCGAACGAGACCUUCGGGUCUAGUGGCGCACGGGUGCGUAACGCGUGGGAAUCUGCCCCUUGGUUCGGAAUAACUCAGAGAAAUUUGAGCUAAUACCGGAUAAUGACGUAAGUCCAAAGAUUUAUCGCCUAGGGAUGAGCCCGCGUAGGAUUAGCUAGUUGGUGGGGUAAAAGCCUACCAAGGCGACGAUCCUUAGCUGGUCGAGAGGAUGAUCAGCCACACUGGGACUGAGACACGGCCCAGACUCCUACGGGAGGCAGCAGUGGGGAAUAUUGGACAAUGGGCGAAAGCCUGAUCCAGCAAUGCCGCGUGAGUGAUGAAGGCCUUAGGGUUGUAAAGCUCUUUUACCCGGGAAGAUAAUGACUGUACCGGGAGAAUAAGCCCCGGCUAACUCCGUGCCAGCAGCCGCCGCCGUAAG
rnacentral:rRNA from 1 species